rnacentral:rRNA from 1 species
UACGAGAGGCCCAAACGUUAUUCGGAAUUACUGGGCGUAAAGGGCGCGUAGGCGGCACACAUAGUCAGGCGUGAAAUUCCUGGGCUUAACCUGGGGGCUGCGUUUGAUACAUGUGAGCUAGAGGAUGGAAGAGGCUCGUGGAAUUCCCAGUGUAGAGGUGAAAUUCGUAGAUAUUGGGAAGAACACCGGUGGCGAAGGCGGCUCACUGGACGACUGUUGACGCUGAGGUACGAAAGCGUGGGGAGCAAACAGG